UGAGGCAGGAGAACGGGGUGAAUCCAGGAGACGGAGCUUGCAGUGAGCCGGGAUUGCGCCACUGCACUCCAGCCUGGGCUACAGAGCAAGACUCCGUCUCAAAAAAAAAAAAAAGGAAAAAAAGAAAAAAGAAAAGAAAAACAAAGCCUCCACCAAAAACAGGGAGGGCUGGCCUGAGAGAAGACUCACCAGGGACAAAAAUUUGAGCCAUGGAAGCCUACAGCGCAAAGGGCUCAUGCAUACUGGCCAAAAAAGAGUAUUUUUUUCUGAUAGUCAUCUUUCUUUAGGUCCCAUUUCUGACCCCAUUUAUGUCAAUUAAAUGAGAGAGACGAGCUCUCUAAAAGAAAGAUAUGUAUUCAGGAAUAGGGCAUUGCAAUGGGAAUACACGUCAUUGUGAGCUGUGUGUGUACUUUAGGGAGGUAAAGGGAGAGAAUUUUUUUUUUUUUUUUGAGAUGGAG
rnacentral:lncRNA from 10 species